UUCUUGCCUGGAGAAUCUCAGGGACGGGGGAGCCUGGUGGGCUGCCGUCUAUGGGGUUGCACAGAGUCAGACACGACUGAAGCGACUUAGCAGCAGCAGCAGUCUACUGUUACAGGUGCGCGCGCUCACCCGCAGUCCGAACCUCCCUCGUGGUCCAGCAGGAGGCGAGCUGGAUGGGGAACUGAUGGCAGAGGAGACCAAGGAGACAGGUGCAGAGUGGAUGCACCCUGGACUAGGAAAGGAGCAGUAAGGAGGAAGUAGAGCUGAGGUCAGACCUUCAGGAUGCAGCGCCUACAGGACUUCACGUGGAUCCAGGCCGAAGUCUUCGGAUGACCUCCAGGGGCACUGAAAAUCUGUCCCUGGUUUGUCUUUGCUCCGGUCUCCACUAGUCGCCCCUACGGCAACCAUCCAGGGACCUCGACGCUUCCCAGGGACAUACAUUCUGACACCAGAGAGCCUGUGCUCACUUCCCCUUUGCCUAGACUGCCUUUUCCCCUGCUUCCCCCACACUUCAAAGGCCAGCUCAGAAGUCACACUUGCCCGUUCCCUAUUAUCCAAGCACUCAUAAAGCCCUCUGUGAACUCAUUUUGGCUCUCACACACCCAACUGUGGCUUGUUCCUAUUCCUAAAUACCCAGCACAACAACGUGAAAUUUGCAAAAUCAAUGAAUACUGUUUUUUUGGGGAGGGGGUUGCUAUUCGCAGGAUUUGUGGGGUCUCAAAUGGUGACCAGGGAUUGAACCUGGGCCGUGGCAGUCAAAGUCUGGAAUGCUAACCACUAGGCCACCACGGAACUCCCUCAAUGAAUACUUUUGAAAAGAAUAUGACUGCAGGUCAUAUAUUCUGAGACUUUAUGAACACUGGGGUAAAAACGGAUGUUAAUGCCAUGAACUUGAGAGCUAUCCAGUAUGCUCAUCUGACAUUCCCCCUCAACUUCUUCCACCAUCCAUUCUACCCUAGGGAUUGAAAGAUGUCUCAACAAAUGCUAAUUUGUAAAUAACAAAAAUGUUAAUAAGAUAUAAAAC
ensembl:lncRNA